AUUGAACGCUGGCGGCAUGCCUAACACAUGCAAGUCGAACGGUAACAGGGGCUUCGGCCCGCUGACGAGUGGCGGACGGGUGAGUAAUACGUAGGAAUCUACCUUUUAGUGGGGGAUAACUUAGGGAAACUUAAGCUAAUACCGCAUAAUCACUACGGUGGAAAGCAGGGGAUCGUAAGACCUUGCGCUGAUAGAUGAGCCUACGUCGGAUUAGCUUGUUGGUAGGGUAAAGGCCUACCAAGGCGACGAUCCGUAGCUGGUCUGAGAGGACGACCAGCCACACUGGGACUGAGACACGGCCCAGACUCCUACGGGAGGCAGCAGUGGGGAAUAUUGGACAAUGGGGGCAACCCUGAUCCAGCAAUGCCGCGUGUGUG
rnacentral:rRNA from 1 species